rnacentral:tRNA from 4 species
GCCGGUGUAGCUCAGUUGGCAGAGCAGCGCAUUCGUAAUGCGCAGGUCGGUGGUUCGAAUCCACUCAUCGGCACCA